CAAAUAAGGGAAACCAUGGGACCUAUGUUUCUUUGGGCUUGGCUUACUUCACUUAAUAUAAUUUUUAUCAGUCGAAGAGGACGGCCAUCCCCGAUAGAGGAGGACCGGUCUUCGGUCAAGGGUAUACGAGUAGCUGCGCUCCCCUGCUAGAACCUCCAAACAAGCUCUCAAUACAAAGUUUUAAAACAAGCAACUUUAUCCUAAGAGAUGAAGA
rnacentral:snRNA from 1 species